GUUUGUCAUUUGUAAAUUUUAUAAAUUUACCACAAUGCAAAGUGACUAUUUAAGGAAAUUAUUAUGGGAAACUCCGCAGAUGUUUUAGAAAGAUAUUCAUUGAAGCUGAAAAUAAUUGGAGAUAUAGAUCCAUAUACAUGCAAUUCAGUCAUCAGAAUUGGAUUUUACAGUGCAUUUCAUCAAUUACUGUUAUAAUGCUAUUAUAGAUAGACUGGUAGAGUCUCACAGUUACUACUUUAAGCAGCAGAUGAAAGCAUACAAAAGCCUUCAGACACAUAAAAGCCUUCACAACUGGAUUUGUUUUGAAACAUUUGAUGUUUUGAUGAUUUCUAUAUUAUUGUUGGAAAGGUGAAGAAUUCCCAAAAAGCUAAUGCUAAACCACUAGAUGCUUGGGUGAUAGCCAGUUUCAAUGGCAUAGCAAAUGCACAUUGUAUGUGUAUUGCCGGUAAUAGUGAAGUUUGCAGCCAUAUUGCAGCAAUCUUAUUUGCAGCUGAGUAUGCCCACAGCAAGACAGAAGAAGAAGAACCCAGUGCAUGUACAGAUAUUACAGCUAUGUAUAUUCUCUGGUGAAAAACUAAUGAGUUUUCAAGCUGUUCGGUCAGAGUGCUUGUUGCGCUCUCUAAACGAACUGAAAUAUAAGACGGCUUUGGCUUCAUGUUGCAGCGAUAUGAAAAUGGUGUCUGGAUCUUUUUGUAUGCAAAAAUUUGUAAUAAUUAUUUGAAAUCAUUUUGAGGAUUAUAAGACUAUGGAAAUAUAUGUGAGAACACAGACUAUUAUAGUUUUGUCCUAUUUUUUAUCAUUCAAUCGUCUUCUUUAAAAUUUAUAAAUAUAAAGCAGAUAGUUUUCAUUGAAAUUCAAUAUAUUGGGUCUUAUUUGUAUGUAUUCAUUUUUGACUAAAGGUACGAUUCCGAUAACGACUGCAGACAGCAACUGCAAACAUCAGUUGCAGUUCUCGGCGUUAUGGACGUUACUACUUUGCACUAUUUAUCUGUAUGAGACUGAUUCCGACAUCUGACUGCUACUGCUGUCUGGCAGAACAUCAGUUGCUAAUAAUUAUGCAAAUUAUUAGUGCAAAAUAAUGACGUCUGUCAUGGUGACAACUGUAACUGCCAUCUGCAGUCGUUGUCGGAAUCGUACCUUUAAAGUGUGUGGUAUAAUUAUAAUAAUUAUAUAUAUUAUAUAACUUCAAUGGUUUAAACUUAAGUUUGUUAUUACAUUGUGACUUAAAUGUUUAAUUUGUUAAUAAAUGAUUUAUUAGUUUAUAUGUUGUUUCACUUUUGACACAGUAAAUACUUAUAAUAUAAAAAGUGAAAAUUCUAUGUAUGUUAUAUAUGUUGCAUUGAAGAUAUUGUAAUUCUAUGCAUUUUAACAAGCCUUCCAUUUGGUUUUACUUAAAUGGAAAAAUUGCAAUACUAACAAUGCCCAUACGAAUAAUUGAAUGGGCCUGCCGAAUAACGUUGUAAACGCCACAUGGUUUGUUUUUGAGAAGUCAAAGAAAAAGUUUUAAUAUUGUGAUGAUGGUGAGUUUAUACAUUUUAAGGGUAGUAAUACAGUUUUUAAAUACAAAAUAC